GGCGGGGUAGCGCAUGGAGCGCGCCAGGAUUGCAUUAAACUUUCUUGUAUAGCGCCAUGCAAUAAACCUGGUUCACCCGUUCGAUCUGGGUCCCCGUCC